CAGUCGCCGCGGUAAUACGUAGGUGGCAAGCGUUGUCCGGAAUUAUUGGGCGUAAAGGGCUCGCAGGCGGUUUCUUAAGUCUGAUGUGGAAGCCCCGGCUCAACCGGGGAGGGUCAUUGGAAACUGGGAAACUUGAGUGCAGAAGAGGAGAGUGGAAUUCCACGUGUAGCGGUGAAAUGCGUAGAGAUGUGGAGGAACACCAGUGGCGAAGGCGACUCUCUGGUCUGUAACUGACGCUGAGGAGCGAAAGCGUGGGGAGCGAACAGGAUUAGAUACCCCGGUAGUCCCUGUCUCUUAUACA
rnacentral:rRNA from 1 species